rnacentral:rRNA from 1 species
AUGCCUCCACCAGAGGGGCAUGCAAAGAUGAAUGUGGAUGCGGCUGUGUCCCUGCAAGGGGAGUUUGGAGCCGUGGGAGCAGUGUGUCGAGACCAACAGGGAAGUUUUUUGGGUGCUUCGAUCUUAAAACUCGAGUUCAUCACGGAUGUAAGCACACUAGAGGCAAUAGCAGCAAGGGAAGGACAAUCGUUGGCUGAGGAUCUAUAUGAGAACUCCAUUCAAAUCGCUACAGAUUGCAAGAGGGUGGUUGAAGAUGUCCAGAAGAACUCGGCGGCGGGCUACAGAGCUAUUGUGCAUGAAAUAAUACUUCUUGCAAAUGCUUUCUCUUCAUGUAAAGUAGUUCAUGAGUUCAGGAGCUCGAAUUUCGAGGCUCCUAAUCUCGCUAGAUAUGCUUUGACUUUAAAUUUAACGAGGAAACCUUGA